rnacentral:rRNA from 1 species
CCCUUAGAUGUUCUGGGCCGCACGCGCGCUACACUGACGAAUGCAACGAGCUUAUAACCUUGGCCGAAAGGUCUGGGUAAUCUCCAAAUUUCGUCGUGAUGGGGAUAGAUUAUUGCAAUUAUUAAUCUUCAACGAGGAAUGCCUAGUAAGCGCAAGUCAUCAGCUUGCGUUGAUUACGUCCCUGCCCUUUGUACACACCGCCCGUCGCUCCUACCCAUUGAAUGGUCCGGUGAAGCGUUCGGACCGUGGCCUUUGGACGGUUCGCCGUCUGUUGGCUGCGGGAAGUUCGUUAAACCUUAUCAUUUAGAGGAAGGAGAAGUCGUAACA